AACGAACGCUGGCGGCAUGCCUAACACAUGCAAGUCGAACGAAGCCUUCGGGCUUAGUGGCGCACGGGUGCGUAACGCGUGGGAAUCUGCCCUUGGGUUCGGAAUAACAGUUAGAAAUGACUGCCAAUACCGGAUGAUGUCUUCGGACCAAAGAUUUAUCGCCCAAGGAUGAGCCCGCGUAGGAUUAGGUAGUUGGUGGGGUAAUGGCCCACCAAGCCGACGAUCCUUAGCUGGUCCGAGAGGAUAAUCAGCCACACUGGGACUGAGACACGGCCCAGACUCCUACGGGAGGCAGCAGUGGGGAAUAUUGGACAAUGGGCGAAAGCCUGAUCCAGCAAUGCCGCGUGAGUGAUGAAGGCCUUAGGGUUGUAAAGCUCUUUUACCAGGGAUGAUAAUGACAGUACCUGGAGAAUAAGCUCCGGCUAACUCCGUGCCAGCAGCCGCAGUAACAC
rnacentral:rRNA from 1 species